GCCGUCGAAGAAUGAAGCGGCGCAGUUGAGCUGCCGCCAAAGUGCCUCCAAUCGCAGCUUUAUCUUUUUUUUUCCGCUUCGCUGGUUGGGGUGGCAAAAAAGCUGGAGCCGGCCCUGGUUAUACAAUAUAAUCUCUGCAGCUAGAUGUGUAAUUUCCAGCUCAACUAGAUAUAUAUGUGCUAGCUUUAAUCAAGCUAGCAUGCUAAAAAUAGCCUGUGUGGUUCACAAUAUAGGCUAGCCACCAGAGUAUGUAGUUAGGGUACCUGGGACGGCCAGCCUGUCUCACUGCCCCCACAGCCACAUGCAUAUAUGUGCUCAGGCUGGAAAUUACAUCUCCAGCUCAAGGGUAGGCAUAUCCUCAUUCCCUGUGGUAGGAGGGCUUCCAACCUGAUUUUGCUAUUCAUGGAAGCCCCAAGAGAGAGCAACUCCUAAUAGCAGCUGGGAGGGAAAUCACCCACAAAAUACAUCUGGUUUGGUUCUCAAGGAUUCAGCAGUUCUUAAAAUUAUUUGCAUAUGUUCAGAGAAUAUUUCAUCUUGCAACAUGUGCAGGAGCCUGUGCCAAACCUGGUCAAAUAUAAGGAGAUCUUAUGGGUUAAGCAUUAGCAUAACACUCAGAAAAUCUAUGUUCAGUUCUGCCUCAGAAUUCUUUUAUGACCAUGGGAAAGACAUUAAACUUCUUAUCCUACCAUAUAUGUAUACACUGCAAUGAGGAGCCUACUAGAUCAAAGCUACCUCAGCUGAAGUCCAAGAUAUUUUUUUGACUGCAAACAGAGCAGUAUGUGGUAGGAUGCAGUGGACCUGUAGCAUCUUUGAAGAAAAAACGUGCAAACUAUAUUCUGCUAUGUACACUGUACUUGCUGAGUGGAGGUCCUUUCCAAGGUGUUGUGUAAAAUCUGCUGCAGAGUUUCCAGACCGCUGCCUUGGUGUUGCAUGAAAACUAGAUGUCGUGCUAUUGAAUUUAGGUCCAUCUUGUCCCAGAGAACACCACGUUUGUUAAUAGCCUAUAGCACAUGUAUAGCACUUUUCCUAUUCAAAACACUUCAUGAACAUUAACUAUUGUAAACAAUAAGGCCAUCUAUAAGGUACUUUACUGAUCAAUUAUUCUGUAUUCCUCUAAUUAUUCUUAUAGUUAAAUAACACUGAAGAUAAUAUGUUAAUUGCAUGUACAGUAUGUAAGCAGACAGUGCAAUUCCUUACAGUAUGUUUGGGGAUUGGGCUUAAAUUUGGAGAUGGAAUAUGUAUUGUUUGUACAGUUGUGUGAUAAAUUACUGGCAAAUAGAAGCACAGAUGGCUUUGCCCUAAGAUCAGGCAUCACAUGCCAGAAAUUAUCUGGGAAAUUGUCAUUUUAAAAAUAACUCUAGAACAAGUGCCAAGUUUUGAAGGAUCCAUGUGUCUAAUAAACAGAUAUAAACAUCAGCAGUGUCCAAAGCUUAAGUAUAUUUGGAUUAUAUUAUGGAUAUGGAAAACAUGCACAAUUAUCACCUAUCUGCUAGUAAAAAUUAAAUCUCUUCAUGUAUCUUUUGUGCUUUUAAUCAGGAACUGGAAUUCUUUAAUUGCUAUGGAAUGAAUGGACCAAAUAGUCACUCUAAAUUAAGUUCUAGUUACCUAAGGAAGUUCAAGCAAUUAUAAAGUCUGGAGAAUUUUUGUAUUAGUUGUUUAAAGUUAUUACACUUUAUUCACAGCUCUUAUUGUCUUCCAGAUUUGUGAGUACUCAGCGCUACUGAAAUUCAGGCUUUGAGUUUAUUAAUACUUCAAAGUCAAAUUAUUACAGUUUAUUAAAGUUGUUGUAACUUUUCAGUUUAUUAAAAUUGUAUUUAUUACAUACAGUAAUUAAACAAUGGUUGUUACAUUA